rnacentral:lncRNA from 1 species
AAAAAACUUUUUUACUUGCAACACCCAUACAUCUGAGUACAGACACCUCACGCAACCAUCAUCUCCAUUCUCUUCUCAGAACUACUAGAUCUUUUUAAUCCACCAGUUUCCCAGAAAUCGUCCAUACUUCUCCUUCCUUCUCUCUUUUCUUUUUCUUUCUCUCAAGAUUCUCUCCAUAAGCUACGUAAUCUUGCCAGAGCUUUUCGAUUUAGAUUCAAGCCUCUAAGCGGAUGUAGGUAUUCUUGAAGAAUGGGUUUACAAGUGUUUC